rnacentral:lncRNA from 10 species
GUGGACCGAGAGAAGAAGGGGCCCAGGGAAGCAGAGGGCCCAAGACCAUUCACAGUAUUUACAAUUUGCCAGAAUUUGGUAGUCAGUGUGGCCUGCUCUGAAUCAGGCAUCUUAUUUAGUUCUGGGGUGAGCUCAUGCCUGUAAUCCCAGCACUUUGGGAGGCCGAGGCGGGCAGAUCACUUGAUAUCAGAAGUUCGAGACCAGCGUAGUCCCAGCUACUCAGGAGGCUGAGGUGGGAGGAUCGCUUGAGCCCAGGAUUUCAAGGCUGCAGUAAGCUAUGAUCACACCACUGCACUCCACCUUGGGCAACAGAGCGAGACACCCUGUCUCUAAAAACAAAAACAAAAAUCUAUCUGCAGACACCCUGUCUCUAAAAACAAAAACAAAAAUCUAUCUGCAAUUGAACUCAUUACUUCCCCAACCAGCCCUCAUGUCUUGGACUGACCAUCUCAGCCAGUGUCAUCACAUUCAGUCUCCCAAGGCAGAAACUUUUUUUUUUUUUUUUUGAGAUGGAGUCUUGCUCUGUCACCCAGGCUGGAAUACAGUGGUGCAAUCUUGGCUCACUGCAACCUCCGCCUCCCAGGUUGAAGUGAUUCUCCUGCCUCAGCCUUCCGAGUAGCUGGGAUUACAUGCGCGCGCCACCAUGCCUGGCUAAUUUUUGUAUUUUUAGUGGAGACGGGGUUUCGUCAUGUUGUACAGGCUGGUCUGGAACUUCUGACCUCAGAUAAUCCUUCCGCCUUGGCCUCCCAAAGUGCUGGGAUUACAGGUGUGAGCCACUGUGCCCGGCCUUAAGGCAGAAAUCUCUAUGUGGAA